AGGCAGAGGGUUUUGUGACCUCUACUUUGUUUCCCCGCGCUCGCUUCCUCCUCCUUCCACUUCCUUGAAAUCCAGCGCAGAGGGAGGGUCUCCUUCUCCGCUCGCUCCUGCUUUUCCUCUCAGCUCGGUUGAGCUCGAAAAAGUUUCUUUGGCUGUAGAAAGCAGCUGAUAGAAGGAGCAUUGAGAUGGCACAUGCUCGAGGAGGUGAUUUCAUGUUCUGUGAUUUGUGUGGAACGAUGAUGUUUUUAUAUUCAAAGGAGCAUGUUGAAUGCCCUUUGUGCAAAUUUAAGAAAAGUGCAAAAGAUCUAAGUGAAAGAGAAAUAAGUUAUCAAGUCAGCUCUGAGGAUAUGAGGAGGGAUCUAGGCAUCUCACAUUUUGAAGGAAAGAUGGAAGUGAAAGACAUGGAGAUAAAUAAGAAAUGUGAAAAAUGCGGCCACACAAAGCUUAAAUUUUCAACCAGACAGAUGAGAUCAGCAGAUGAGGGCCAAACGACUUUUUUUCAUUGUGCUAAUUGCUCAUAUACAUUUACUGAGAACUGAGCAUCCAGAUGUUGGAGCUUUCAAGACUGACCUACAUAGAGCUCGGGUUAGGUGGAACAGUCUGAAGAUGAGGUGUCUUGAAGGUUUUUAUAUUGUUUGAUUGACAGCACAGAAUGAACAGCCAAUUGUUGACACAAUCUAGGGAAUGCAUGUGGUGGAAUCUACAACGAGGGGCUUGUUGGAAGCAUUACUUGUGCUGUUAAUUCCUUGGACCCUGGAUUUAGAGUUGUCUAAAGCCUCAAGAAUGUUUUGGAUGAAAGAGUAGUUAACAUGGAGGAGGAAAUUAAAAAGGUCACAAUAGUAUAUUCAUCAUUUUUUAUGCCUACGUAUUCUUGUUGAGUUCAAAGGUUUAUUAAGUAAAGGAGACGGGUGAAGAAAUAUGUGUCUAAGCAUUAUCCCUGUUAAGGUAGGAUUCUUUAUGCCAUCUUUGUCUUGUUUCCCUUUGUCAAAUCUUUAAAUUUAAAUUUCAAAUGUUUUUACA